UACGUAGGAGGCGAGCGUUGUCCGGAAUUACUGGGCGUAAAGCGCGCGUAGGCGGGCCCGUGCGUCGGCGGUGAAAGCCCCCGGCUCACCUGGGGGAGCGCUGCCGAUACGAUGGGCCUUGGAGGGCGGUAGGGGCAGGUGGAACGCCCGGAGUAGCGGUGAAAUGCGUUGAGAUCGGGCAGAACACCGGUGGCGAAGGCGGCCUGCUGGGCCGCACCUGACGCUGAGGCGCGAAAGCCGGGGGA
rnacentral:rRNA from 1 species